UACGUAGGCAGCAAGCGUUGUUCGGAAUUACUGGGCGUAAAGAGUGUGUAGGCGGUGCUCUAAGUUCGGUGUGAAAUCUCCCGGCUCAACUGGGAGGGUGCGCCGGAAACUGGAGUGCUCGAGCGUGGGAGAGGAAAGCGGAAUUCCUGGUGUAGCGGUGAAAUGCGUAGAUAUCAGGAGGAACACCGGUGGUGUAGACGGCUUUCUGGACCAUAGCUGACGCUGAGACACGAAAGCGUGGGUAGCAAACAGG
rnacentral:rRNA from 1 species